rnacentral:rRNA from 1 species
AACGCGAAGGAACCUUACCUACUCUUGACAUCCAGAGAACUUUCCAGAGAUGGAUUGGUGCCUUCGGGAACUCUGAGACAGGUGCUGCAUGGCUGUCGUCAGCUCGUGUUGUGAAAUGUUGGGUUAAGUCCCGCAACGAGCGCAACCCUUAUCCUUUGUUGCCAGCGGUUCGGCCGGGAACUCAAAGGAGACUGCCAGUGAUAAACUGGAGGAAGGUGGGGAUGACGUCAAGUCAUCAUGGCCCUUACGAGUAGGGCUACACACGUGCUACAAUGGCGCAUACAAAGAGAAGCGACCUCGCGAGAGCAAGCGGACCUCAUAAA